rnacentral:rRNA from 1 species
UGAGCUCGAUGAGUAGGGCGGGACACGUGGUAUCCUGUCUGAAUAUGGGGGGACCAUCCUCCAAGGCUAAAUACUCCUGACUGACCGAUAGUGAACCAGUACCGUGAGGGAAAGGCGAAAAGAACCCCGGCGAGGGGAGUGAAAAAGAACCUGAAACCGUGUACGUACAAGCAGUGGGAGCACGCUUAGGCGUGUGACUGCGUACCUUUUGUAUAAUGGGUCAGCGACUUAUAUUCUGUAGCAAGGUUAACCGAAUAGGGGAGCCGAAGGGAAACCGAGUCUUAACUGGGCGUUAAGUUGCAGGGUAUAGACCCGAAACCCGGUGAUCUAGCCAUGGGCAGGUUGAAGGUUGGGUAACACUAACUGGAGGACCGAACCGACUAAUGUUGAAAAAUUAGCGGAUGACUUGUGGCUGGGGGUGAAAGGCCAAUCAAACCGGGAGAUAGCUGGUUCUCCCCGAAAGCUAUUUAGGUAGCGCCUCGUGAAUUCAUCUCCGGGGGUAGAGCACUGUUUCGGCAAGGGGGUCAUCCCGACUUACCAACCCGAUGCAAACUGCGAAUACCGGAGAAUGUUAUCACGGGAGACACACGGCGGGUGCUAACGUCCGUCGUGAAGAGGGAAACAACCCAGACCGCCAGCUAAGGUCCCAAAGUCAUGGUUAAGUGGGAAACGAUGUGGGAAGGCCCAGACAGCCAGGAUGUUGGCUUAGAAGCAGCCAUCAUUUAAAGAAAGCGUAAUAGCUCACUGGUCGAGUCGGCCUGCGCGGAAGAUGUAACGGGGCUAAACCAUG